GGAGUCGUGUGUGUGUGUGUGUGUCAGAAUUGAUUUUGGGCUUCGAGUCUGGUUGUGAGGUGCCCCCACUCCCAUUGUCCCCUGCCCUCCAAUGUGGCACCUGCACAGGAGUCUGAGACAUCCUUUGCCAAAGUCCCAGAAUGGAGACUGAAGGGUACCUAGAGACACAAAUAGAAGUCCAGAAUGAAAAUAAGGUCACCAUCAGAUGAGAUGAUGGUGGAGGAGUUAGAAAUUGUGCUAAUAUCUCCCAAGUCCAGGUUCCCCAAAAGCCUUCCAGCAGAGUCUUGAUGAAGACUCUACCAAAGACCUUGAGACCAUUCCAGAAAGGAAUCCGCCCAACGCUGCAGCUUCCAGGCAGAAGUUCAGGAAAUUCUGCUCUGAGGACACAGCUGGGCCCAGGGAGGUCCUCAGACAUCUCUAGGAGUUUGCUAGACAGUGGCUGAGACCUGAUAUUCACACAAAGGAGAUGUGGAGAUACUGGUACAAGAGCAGUUCCAGGCCAUCCUGCCUAGGAUCUCCGAGCACAGGCCCAGAGAGGUCAGCCUGGAGUCAGAAUCACUAGCUAAGGCCUGUCACUGGGUUCUUGCUCAGCCUACAUGUGAGAAGUCACCAAAGGUUCUCUUUGUUGGUCCAAGAUCCAACUGCACUCAUGGGGAAAUAUGAACCUUGGUUUUUUUGAGCUUGCCUUUGACUAGUUGUAAUAAGAAUCCAUCAAAACCCAUGUCUGAACCUCUCUCUGGCUGAGGCAGAUCUCAUUCCUGGGACUGAGCUCUAGCUAGAAAGUUUCUCUACUCUGUUAGGACAGUCAGCCCAUUGCUUGAUUUUGCUCUGUUGAAUGCCUCUAUUUCUGUACUUUCUGACAUGCUUUAAUAAGUUAUGUAUCCAAAAAGGUAAAUUGCUUCAACUUUCAGAAUUCUU
rnacentral:lncRNA from 1 species